GAUCCAACCCGCAUCUCCUGUUUGUCAGGUAGAUUCUUUACCACUGAGCCACCUGGGAAGCCCCGUGUGGAUGGUAGACACGUCUAUUGUAUCAUCUCUUUGGUCAUCAUAGUAUAUCAUUUGGCCUUCGACACCAUGAGCACUGGGUGUGAUCCCUCACUUACUGGUGAGGAAAUGGAGUUUUAGGAUGUUAGAGAGCUAGUGAAUUGUGCUGAUACAGAUCCAAGCCUGAAGGGGUCAAGAUGAUUCCACGUUGCUCCACUGCUGAACAUCCGUGAGCUAAGGUGGAUUUGGGAGAGGUUGUUGCUUAGACUAGCACAUCUUGAUGCCUUAAUUUCAAAAUGCAGCGCUGAGGGAAACUUACUAGGAUAAGGCUCUUUUGGUGAAGAGACCUUCGGGGUCAGUAAGGAGUGGCCGGGGCUGCAGGAGGAGGAGGGGAGAGGCGAGGUGGUGGGGAGGUUUCCCCGGCGGCAGUAGCCACAGGAUCGCAGAGCAGAUUUCUUUUAGUCCACCCAAGACGGGAACAGAACUGGAAACUGCAGGUCAGGACUCUCGAGUGCAGAGAGAAGUGGGAAAGUGACUUAACACUGUGUUUCUGCGCUGGUCUCUCCGCUCCUGCUUUUCAACCCAAGUGUGCCUCGUGUUCUGGGGCGGCCUCGGGGGCUUGUACAGGGCGGUGCCGGGCCCUUAGAAUGGCUAGGGAUUCAGGAAGGUCCGUGCUGGUCCUGAGGGUUGAAUCCCGACCCGACCCUCUGGUUUUCUCAGUGGAGACUCAGUCUUCUUCCUGCCUGAUGUUGUUGGCGGUGAGCAAGGUGCACAGGAGACGAGGCCACCACACCAGCCUGUUUGCUGACCACUGUUCUGUGUCCUUCGUCCUCCAGAAUUACCUGGUGCAUAGGUAGCUUCCCCUAACCAGGGAAACAGAACAAGCCCAGAUGGCAGAGCGCUGACCCGUCCUGAGACCCCACAGACGGCAGCAUCUCCACCAUGGGCACACGGACCAGGGCGACCUCUUUUUGAUUCAUGGUUUGCAAAUGUCUUUAGCGGUGAGUUUCUUCCUUCAAAUAAUUUCUUCCUGACACCGAAGCCCAAUAAUUAAAACAGAUGAAAAGUAGAGCUGAUAAUUUAGGUGUCGGACAUGACUGAGCGACUGAACUGAACUGAACUGAAACCCUGUAAAGAACAGUAAUUUCAACUAGAAAAUUAAAGUCAGAGAGGUGGGAAGAGGGGAGUUUCCAGAGCUAGGCCGGGACUCAGAACUGCCCCAGGUGCCCUGGCCAGCAUUUGCUCACCACUCCUCUCUGGAGGCCUGGAGACACAGCCCCAACUAGUCUAUGGAUGACAUCAGUGCAUAAUUAGAGGUGAGUUUCACAGCAGCCCUUAAAAAAAUGCCUCUUGACCAAUAGACUUUACUUUUAGCAAACUGAAAUAGUCCACACUUUAAAAAAUGAGUGUUAAUCUAAAGAAGGGUUCGCCAGCCAGAAAAUUUAGUACAAUGAAAGUCACAAAACAC
rnacentral:lncRNA from 1 species